GACGAACGCUGGCGGCGCGCUUAACACAUGCAAGUCGAACGGAAAGGCCUGCUUUCCCUUGUGGAUUGCGGGUACUCGAGUGGCGAACGGGUGAGUAACACGUGAGUGAUCUGCCCCCAACUUGGGUAUAAGCCUGGGAAACUGGGUCUAAUUCCCGAUAGGACUGCAGGGUGGUGCCUGUGGUGGAAAACGAUUUUCUAGUGGUUGGGGAUGAGCUCGCGGCCUAUCAGCUUGUUGGUGGGGUAAUGGCCUACCACGGCGGCGACGGGUAGCCGGCCUGAGAGGGUGGACGGCCACAUUGGGACUGAGAUACGGCCCAGACUCCUACGGGAGGCAGCAGUGGGGAAUAUUGCACAAUGGGCGGAAGCCUGAUGCAGCGACGCCGCGUGGGGGAUGACGGCCUUCGGGUUGUAAACUCCUUUCGACCGCGAGGAAGCCACCUGGUUGGAAGGGUGGUGACGGUAGUGGUAGAAGAAGCACCGGCUAACUACGUG
rnacentral:rRNA from 1 species